rnacentral:rRNA from 1 species
CCUACGGGAGGCAGCAGUGAGGAAUAUUGGUCAAUGGGCGAGAGCCUGAACCAGCCAAGUCGCGUGAGGGAGUACUGCCCUAUGGGUUGUAAACCUCUUUUGUCGGGGAGCAAAAGCCGGACCUGUCCGGCUGUGAGAGUACCCGAAGAAAAAGCAUCGGCUAACUCCGUGCCAGCAGCCGCGGUAAUACGGAGGAUGCGAGCGUUUUCCGGAUUUAUUGGGUUUAAAGGGUGCGCAGGCGGAUUUUUAAGUCAGCGGUAAAAUCGUGGGGCUUAACCCCAUUCAGCCGUUGAAACUGGGGAUCUAGAGUGUGCGAGAGGUAUGCGGAAUGCGUGGUGUAGCGGUGAAAUGCAUAGAUAUCACGCAGAACCCCGAUUGCGAAGGCAGCAUACCGGUGCACAACUGACGCUCAGGCACGAAAGCGUGGGUAUCGAACAGGAUUAGAUACCCGAGUAGUC